UCACAUAGGUAGGGGGUGGGGAGUACAGGGGAAGUGGUUUCUAAGCUCGUGACCCUACACUAGCUGCCUAGGACCACCACACCUUUGGAUUCCUGAGCAGCUUCAGCUUUUCUAGAAGAAUGACCAUCUCACUGCCAGUCUCAAAAGGAGUUCGUGUCUGGAUGUCAUCAUGUGUCCACGCAAUUCUCUGCCAGUAUACCUGUAGAUUGUUCCCAAGUCUUGGCAGCUAUAGUCCUGCUGGACUUUGUUAAAGUAAGACCCUUCUGGCCUUACUUUAAUUUGCGACCUGUGGAAUGGCCUCAACUCCAAAUACAGCCGUAUCCUGAGAUGCUGAUGGUUGGAGCUGAAAAGUUACGAGUCUGGGGGAGACCCAGCUCAGUCUUCAGCGUUUACUGGUCUGGGUGACUGGUGUCCUAUUCCAGGUGGGCCUUGGGAGACACAGGUGCAGAGGGACAAUGCCAUGCAGCAAUGAAGACAGUGAGCGGAACGCCGUAAAUGGCCAGCUAAGCAGACUGAGACGGACCCUUGCCCGCACCCUGGAAGCCGCCAGCCCUGCUAAUGUCCUGCCCCUGACCUUCCAGA